rnacentral:lncRNA from 1 species
AGAAAAAGUGUUAUGUCUGCCUCGAAUACAGAUAUUCCUAUUUAUAUGAAAAUAAAUAACAGGGAACUUAACCUUCUACUUGUCAUAAUCUACUGAGUACAUCCAUUGCCAGGGAAUUGUACAGCACAUUUUAUGGGGUGUUUCAGCUUUGAAGCUACGGGACAAUAAUAACACGAAGGCUGGCCACUUUGUUUCAUGCCUCC